UGGCUCAGUUUAUAGAGCAUGGUGUUUGCAACGCCAGGGUUGUGGGUUCGAUUCCCAC
rnacentral:tRNA from 1 species